GAUGAACGCUAGCGGCAGGCUUAAUACAUGCAAGUCGAGGGGCAGCAUGACUGUAGCAAUACAGUUGAUGGCGACCGGCAAACGGGUGCGGAACACGUACAGAACCUUCCUUCGAGCGGGGAAUAGCCCAGAGAAAUUUGGAUUAAUACCCCAUAGUAUUACGGAGUGGCAUCCCUUUGUAAUUAAAGAUUUAUCACUUGAAGAUGGCUGUGCGGCUGAUUAGGUAGUUGGCGGGGUAACGGCCCACCAAGCCUGCUAUCAGUAACUGCUGUGAGAGCACGACCAGGCACACGGGCACUGCGAAACGGGCCCGACUCCUACGGGAGGCAGCAGUAAGGAAUAGUAGUCAAUGGACGAAAGUCUCAACCAGCCAUGCCACGUGAAGGAUGAAGGUCCUCUGGAUUGUAAACUUCUUUUAUAUGGGACGAAAAAAGGCUUUUCUAAGUCGUCUGACGGUACCAUAUGAAUAAGCACCGGCUAACUCCGUGCCAGCCGCCGCAGUAAUAC
rnacentral:rRNA from 1 species